rnacentral:tRNA from 1 species
GCCCUGGUGGUGCAACGGUUAAGCGCUUGGCUGCUAACCAAACGGUUGGUGGUUUGAAGCCACCCAGUGGCU